ACCAUGAUUGCACUGAAUGCCGAGAUCCCAGAAUAAUGUCAGUAUGUAAAAGAAUGAGAGAAUUGAUUUCUUGCGGUACUGUGACUCAAUUUACUGUAAUUGAUUCUUGGGUGUUUUUUUGAUCUAAUAUAGGCUGUUUCUAGGUUAUACAAUUAAUUUCUAUAUUCUACAAAUGUCUUUGAGGAAAUUUUGACCUUUUUUUUGUAGGAGGAAGUAUUAUUGAAUGACUUCAUGCCAGAACUUUAUUCUAGUGGAAAAGCUUAAGUGGCCUUUUUGUUUCAGCAAAAAUACAUAAGCCUAUUUUAAAGUUUACUGUAAAUACUGUAUUUGUCAAAUUGAUAGAUUAGUUGGGUCACUCAUGAAACAAAGGCAAACAAAGCUUAAUUGAAACAGAAUGUGAUACUGUAUGGCAGAGAAGAUACAGCUCUGUAGGUGUUCUCUAAAAAGCGAAUACCACAUGUUGAAGUUUAAGCAAAUAUAACUAUGCAUUAGAAACAUUUCUCUGCACUCUGUUCUGCACCAGAAAUAAUAUGUAUGUUGGUAAGAGUCCUUUCAAAGCAAUAUGUGUUUGCGGCAUAUAAUAAUAACAGUUCCUGGAGAAUCAAAGAGGAAUGGAGGAGUACAAAGGAGACUAUUAUCUUCAAGUUAUUGACAAGUAAGUAAAAAGUCCUGUCAAGUUGGAAAUUUUUAUUAGUCACUAAACUUUGACUAAAUUAGUCACUAGAGUCUUCCCACAACUUAAUUGCUGUUAGGAAGCGUAAAGAAAGACAGGUGUGAUAUUCCUGAAAUGGAAAUUAGAUCUUAAGGCUGUUCUAGAUGUCUAAAGUAUUGUAACUGAGAAUGAUCAGUUCAUGAGCCAGUAAACUGAAAAGUAAGAGCAAAGUCUGAGGAGGAUUUUGUAUUAAUGCACUUAAAAACAAUGCCAAAAUUUGGCCUAUACUUGAUUUAUAUGAAAUCUGUAAUAUAAUAUAUAUAAAAUUUGCAUAUUGGAGUUUAAUUUUUUAUGUAAGAUUUUUUCUUGUUACUGCAUUCCCUGAUAAAAGCAAGUGUUCAUGAAAUAUAAACCAGCUUUGUCUGUACAAGGCAAGGUUUUGUGUUAGUAGUAUUUCAGGAAAGAAUGCAGCUGUAACCCCCAGUAUCUCAACCUCUUGGAGAACUACUUAAAAAAACAAAGCAAAACAAACAAACAAACAAAAACCUUUCAAAUGCAAGCCCUGAGUUAGUAGAGUAUCAUAUAAUGGUUGCUGUAUAAUAGUGUAGAACUGAUGUUUUAAAAAUUAAUACAUUGGAACUUUUUGUUAUAUUAUCCUUAAUGAUUUUGUACUCAUUGUACACUUCUGCAGUUGUCAACUAAUGUUUAAACUCAUAUUGACUGGUAACUGAAGCGUCUUAACUUCAUCUGCAAUGAGUGGGUAAUAAAGUAUUGUUGGAUUCACUUGUGUUUUGUUGUCUUUAUUCCUUCCAGUGCUAAGGGGCAUGUGGUUGGACACAUACCACAAGCGUAAAACACGGAUCACAAGAAAACUCAUCUAUCAGUAACUGUUAGAGCAAUAUCAUCUUUUAAGGUGUGGGCUUAAGAUGCAUAAGUUUAGGAAAAAAGAACAAGGAAAUUCUGAAAUGAGGUUUUUCUUUUUCCACUGCUUUAAAAUCUGGACUAUUUAGCUUCAUAUAAACAAUAAAACAAGCUAUUGAUCAAACUGUAAACAAAGAUUUAAGUUCUGUCUGUCUACAGCUUUUGUCAGUUGCUGCACACUGAUAAAUGAAUACGGAAGGAAGCUUUCAGUCUAACUGACAAGAAACUUGCUUUCUAUGAAAGUGCCUGUUUGGGGAAAAAGGAAUCAUUUCCCAAUUCUGGAACUGUUCAGUUUCGAUUUCCAGUCUGACAGCUGCUUUGACUUACACUGCACAGUCAGUUUAAUGAGGCAGCUCAGUCCUUGACUGAAAUCAGAGUCCUUAUGGAAAACAACCAGAUGAAUUUGUAUCCUAUUGGUCACCUUCUAGUGAUUUCUACCUGCCUCCUGAAUCUGCUCUGAAAAUUGGCCAACUGUGGGUAUUUUUAUUCCUCAGACUAUUAAAUAUCUACAGAUUUCCAUGGAAUUUAUGUAGGCAGUAUAUCUGCAUGAGCUUUGCUUCCUUAGUAAAACAGGCUUAAUUGCAGAAUACUAUUAAUUUCAAAUGCUGUGAAUUUUGUUUUACCAUGGUCCCAAGAUGCUUUAACUGCUGUUUAAUAUACGGGCAUGAGAAAGUAUUAGUUCAUUUGUGUAUUUGCAUUACCUUUAAAUAGCCUUAAGUUACUUGGAGAAGUGCAGCAAAAAAAAUACUGGUCGGCACAACUCUCACUUCCUCUCUCCCUGCUGUGUACAGUGCCCAGUGAGGAAGUUUCAGCAGUUAAGUAAUGUUUCGGAACAGUGUUGCAGAACACUCUAUAAGAGGUGGUAACUGCCCCUUGGAAAGAAGCUGUUAGGCCAUUUCAGAUCCAUUAAUGGGGCACUGUAAAGCAUUCCUCCGUUUGAUAGCCUGAAAGAUUUAUGUGGAGAUAGUUCAGGAGAUUCUACUUGUUACAUAAGCUUUUUCUUUUCAGGUAGCUCCAAAGAACAGCAUCCUUCCAAGCUCUACAGCCAUACUUCAUGCUUGGUGACAAGCCACAGCA